rnacentral:rRNA from 1 species
AUUGAACGCUGGCGGCAGGCUUAACACAUGCAAGUCGAGCGGGGUGAUGGUGCUUGCACUAUCACUUAGCGGCGGACGGGUGAGUAAUGCUUAGGAAUCUGCCUAUUAGUGGGGGACAACAUCUCGAAAGGGAUGCUAAUACCGCAUACGUCCUACGGGAGAAAGCAGGGGAUCACUUGUGACCUUGCGCUAAUAGAUGAGCCUAGGUCGGAUUAGCUAGUUGGUGGGGUAAAGGCCUACCAAGGCGACGAUCUGUAGCGGGUCUGAGAGGAUGAUCCGCCACACUGGGACUGGGACACGGCCCAGACUCCUACGGGAGGCAGCAGUGGGGAAUAUUGGACAAUGGGGGGAACCCUGAUCCAGCCAUGCCGCGUGUGUGAAGAAGGCCUUAUGGUUGUAAAGCACUUUAAGCGAGGAGGAGGCUCUUUUGGUUAAUACCCGAGAUGAGUGGACGUUACUCGCAGAAUAAGCACCGGCUAACUCUGUGCCAGCCGCCGCAGUAA